GACGAACCGUGCGAACGUUAUUCGGAAUCACUGGGCUUAAAGGGCGCGUAGGCGGGCACGCAAGUCAGGGGUGAAAUACUCCAGCCCAACUGGAGAACAGCUUUUGAUACUGCGUGCCUCGAGGGGGGUAGGGGCAUGUGGAACUUCCGGUGGAGCGGUGAAAUGCGCAGAUAUCAGGAAGAACACCCGUGGCGAAGGCGGCUCUCUGGUACGUGACUGACGCUGAGACGCGAAAGCGUGGGGAGCAAACAGG
rnacentral:rRNA from 1 species